rnacentral:rRNA from 1 species
GACGAACGCUGGCGGCGUGCUUAACACAUGCAAGUCGAACGGAAAGGCCCUGCUUGCAGGGUGCUCGAGUGGCGAACGGGUGAGUAACACGUGGGUGAUCUGCCCCUUACUUUGGGAUAAGCCUGGGAAACUGGGUCUAAUACUGGAUAGGACCAUGCUGUAGGUGGUGUGGUGGAAAGAUUAGUUUCGGUAAGGGAUGAGCUCGCGGCCUAUCAGCUUGUUGGUGGGGUAAUGGCCUACCAAGGCGUCGACGGGUAGCCGGCCUGAGAGGGUGGACGGCCACAUUGGGACUGCGAUACGGCCCAGACUCCUACGGGAGGCAGCAGUGGGGAAUAUUGCACAAUGGGCGCAAGCCUGAUGCAGCGACGCCGCGUGGGGGAUGACGGCCUUCGGGUUGUAAACUCCUUUCAGCCAUGACGAAGCCCUUGUGGUGACGGUAGUGGUAGAAGAAGCACCGGCUAACUACGUG